AGAACGAACGCUGGCGGCGUGUUUAAGACAUGCAAGUCGCACGGAACCAAUUGAGUAGUAAUACAAGAUUGGUUCAGUGGCGCACGGGUGAGUAACACGUGAAUUACAUGCCCUAUAGUGGGGAAUAGCCCAGGGAAACUUGGAUUAAUACCCCAUGGUCUCGCAAGAGUAAAGGUGGCCGCAAGGCUGUCGCUAUAGGGAUUGGUUCGCGCCCUAUCAGCUUGUUGGCGGGUAACGCCCACCAAGGCUACGACGGGUACCUGGUCUGAGAGGACGAUCAGGCACACUGGAACUGAGACACGGUCCAGACACCUACGGGUGGCAGCAGUCGAGAAUAAUUCACAAUGGGGCAACCCUGAUGGUGCAACGCCGCGUGGAGGAUGACGGUCUUCGGAUUGGUAACUCCUGUCAGUCCGGAGUAACGGCCUGGCUGUGAAUAGCAGAC
rnacentral:rRNA from 1 species